rnacentral:rRNA from 1 species
GAUGAACGCUGGCGGCGUGCCUAAUACAUGCAAGUCGAGCGAAUGGAUUAAGAGCUUGCUCUUAUGAAGUUAGCGGCGGACGGGUGAGUAACACGUGGGUAACCUGCCCAUAAGACUGGGAUAACUCCGGGAAACCGGGGCUAAUACCGGAUCACAUUUUGAACCGCAUGGUUCGAAAUUGAAAGGCGGCUUCGGCUGUCACUUAUGGAUGGACCCGGGUCGCAUUAGCUAGUUGGUGAGGUAACGGCUCACCAAGGCAACGAUGCGUAGCCGACCUGAGGGGGGGAUCGGCCACACUGGGACUGAGACACGGCCCAGACUCCUACGGGAGGCAGCAGUAGGGAAUCUUCCGCAAUGGACGAAAGUCUGACGGAGCAACGCCGAGUGAGUGAUGAAGGCUUUCGGGUCGUAAAACUCUGUUGUUAGGGAAGAACAAGUGCUAGUUGAAUAAGCUGGCACCUUGACGGUACCUAACCAGAAAGCCACGGCUAACUACGUGCCAGCCGCCGCCGUAA